rnacentral:rRNA from 1 species
GAUGAACGCUGGCGGCGUGCCUAAUACAUGCAAGUCGAGCGAACGGACGAGAAGCUUGCUUCUCUGAUGUUAGCGGCGGACGGGUGAGUAACACGUGGAUAACCUACCUAUAAGACUGGGAUAACUUCGGGAAACCGGAGCUAAUACCGGAUGAUAUUUUGAACCGCAUGGUUCAAAAGUGAAAGACGGUCUUGCUGUCACUUAUAGAUGGAUCCGCGCUGCAUUAGCUAGUUGGUAAGGUAACGGCUUACCAAGGCAACGAUGCAUAGCCGGCCUGAGAGGGUGAUCGGCCACACUGGAACUGAGACACGGUCCAGACUCCUACGGGAGGCAGCAGUAGGGAAUCUUCCGCAAUGGGCGAAAGCCUGACGGAGCAACGCCGAGUGAGUGAUGAAGGUCUUCGGAUCGUAAAACUCUGUUAUUAGGGAAGAACAUAUGUGUAAGUAACUGUGCACAUCUUGACGGUACCUAAUCAGAAAGCCACGGCUAACUACGU